UACGUAGGGGGCAAGCGUUGUCCGGAAUCAUUGGGCGUAAAGAGCGUGUAGGCGGCUUGGUAAGUCCGCUGUGAAAGUCCAGGGCUCAACCCUGGAAAGCCGGUGGAAACUGUCAAGCUUGAGUCCGGAAGAGGCGAGUGGAAUUCCUGGUGUAGCGGUGAAAUGCGCAGAUAUCAGGAGGAACACCAAUGGCGAAGGCAGCUCGCUGGGACGUGACUGACGCUGAGACGCGAAAGCGUGGGGAGCAAACAGG
rnacentral:rRNA from 1 species